rnacentral:rRNA from 1 species
CGGACGGGUGAGUAAUGCUUGGGAAUCUGGCUUAUGGAGGGGGAUAACUACGGGAAACUGUAGCUAAUACCGCGUAGUAUCGGAAGAUGAAAGUGCGGGACCGUAAGGCCGCAUGCCAUGAGAUGAGCCCAAGUGGGAUUAGGUAGUUGGUGGGGUAAAGGCCUACCAAGCCUGCGAUCUCUAGCUGGUCUGAGAGGAUGGCCAGCCACACUGGAACUGAGACACGGUCCAG